rnacentral:lncRNA from 1 species
AGUCCACUAUUCCUAACUUUUAAUUUUGUGGCGUUCUAUUUGGUUUGUGAUAACAUCAGUCCACUUUUCCACCUAGUUCCACCUGUGUGUUACUACUUCAUGUACAAUUACAGCUGGCUCUUAUUAACUCACCUCUAUGUGGUGAAGAGGCUGCUUUCUGAACGAUUUCAAGUUGAAUCUGUUUUUCAGUCAUUCAAUAGUGAGAGACUGUAUAUAUCUUAAUAUAUCACCAAUUGAUGGCACCUCAUUGAAAUGCCUCCUCCACUCAAGGGGUAUCAAUAAUCGUUAUAUUGGGAAGAUUGCAAUGGUAGCCAAGUCAAGGGAAGAUCUGGACCACUUACAUAGGAUCUGUGUUACUGAGAUGAUACUAAGAAGAGAUUCAGGAAGCUUUUAUUAACGACUCCAUUGAACCGUGUGUCAGCCUAUGUGACUUAUUUCCUCAACUGUUUACUAACUGAUACUGAAGAGAUUGUUUCUGAUGAAGUUGCUGCUACAAAAAAGAAGUCCAAGAAGAAGAAGGGAGGAGGAAGUGGUGGUGGUGGUGCUAGUGGUCCAGUCACUAAAACUACAUCUGCUGGAAAAGGAAAGUUAUGGAAACUGUUAGUGGAAGAUGUACUUCAGCAUUUCCUGUACACAUUGGAAUAUAAUUCUGUAACUCACAUGUGUACUACUUGUGGUGUUAGCAAAGUCUCUCUUCUCAGGGAAUUCUGUAACAAAACAGGAGUACAGAUUACAUUGAAGGAUUACAAAUUUUCCUUGACUGCUCCAUUCAAUGAAGGUGAUCUUGCCUGUAUUGUACCUGUUGUUAAGCACACUGAUUUUAAAGUGAUCUAAUUUUUUUUGGAAUUUAAUCCAGUGAAAUUAAAAUCACAGUGAAAAAUUUUGAGAUUGACGGUAUAUUGUCUUUUACAUCCUCUUGAAGCCUCUGGUUUGUAUGAGUUGGCUCAGGUUCAGUUGCAGUCUGGUAAUAUUGAAGUUGCUCUUGACUAUCUAUCUGAAGCUGUG